rnacentral:misc_RNA from 1 species
AAGGAGAAGUUACGGGAGCUGGGAGGACUAGAUGCUGUCUUUGAGGUUGCCAUGAAAUGUCAUUCUGUUAUGGAGACUUGGACCGGACAAGGUUCAGCCACUGUUCAGGAAAAAGACGACUCAGGCUUUCAGAGCCUGGUGCUACUUCUAAAAUGUUUGAAAAUCAUGGAAAAUGCUACAUUCCUUAGUAAAGAUAAUCAGAGCCAUUUGCUUGGAAUGAAAGGAAAUUUGGAUUCUCAUGGAU